UUCAGGGGCAGUAAGUGUUUUCUUCUUCCCUCUUAAAAGAAGCUACGGACAAGGCUGUCUUUGCUAGGAAUCUAAGCCUGAAGAUCUCAUUUUUACCUAUGUGUUCUAUGAGAUGCUGCCUCAACAUCACUGAGUGGCUGAGCUGGCACUGGUAUUUCUUCCCUUUGAAAGAUGAAAAGAAUCUGACUGAGUGCAUAGCAGCACAACCGGAGAUGCUCCACGGCUCCUCUGAAAGAGGAGCGAUAGAUCAGAGCGCGACAGAGCCGGCGGAAGAAUACGAAACCAGUUACAUGAACUGUGAACUAUAUGUCAGUGUUCUAUUUGCCUUGAGACAGGGU
rnacentral:lncRNA from 1 species